rnacentral:misc_RNA from 1 species
GAUGAAGAACGUAGCGAAAUGCGAUAAGUAAUGCGAAUUGCAGAAUUUCCGUGAGUCAUCGAAUCUUUGAACGCACAUUGCGCCCUCUGGCAUUCCGGGGGCCAUGCCUGUCCGAGCGUCACGAAAACCCCAUCACACUCGUUGUGGUCAUGGCAGCAGUGAGUCGCCUCGUGUGGGGCGGUCACGCCGCUGAAAGGAAUGGUGCGGAUGAGUCCCGAUGGCCGAACGUAGUACUUUUCAACCCUCGGCGAAUCGGACCCCUCCAUCUUGCCCAGACGAUGGACCCCCAUCGUACUCCUCCAAGGUGGACCUCGGAUCAGGUAGGGAUACCCGCUGAACUUAAGCAUAUCAAUAAGCGGAGGA